CGGGAAUCAAUGAAAAAACGCCUCGAAGGAACUCAGUGUUGUUCCUUCAAAUAUGAAUCUAAAUUAUAAAACCAAACACAGACAAUCUCAAUCCUAAAACCAGGAGAGUCAGUUUUUGAAAUUGUUAGGGUUUCUUUGUAGUCCAUUAUUUGGGCUUAUGGAAGCUGCUCUUUCUAAUGGGGGACUAAUUCUCUCAGCCACAAUGGAGGAACUGAAAGUUUUUUCGUCGUUGUAAGUCGCUCUUCAUUCAUCUAACCAUCCAUGGCAAAAUUUGUGUUGAUGCUCGACAUAUUUGGAAACAAACCAACAUCCAUCAGUUUGCAGAACCAACUCCAAGGGGUCUUUGCAGUGAACAUUUCGUAUAAAUAUAUGUUUCCUUCAGAUGAACCAAGGGGUCUUUGCAGCGACUGAACAAUUCAUAUAAAUAAGUGUUUCAUUCAGAUUCUUGGUAUUCCUACUAUAAUAUGUUAGGCUACAUAUGGGAUGACUGCUCUCUUUGUCACACACACCAGCCUCAUUUUAAAAUACCUAUCCACUUUUUCGGAUCCAACAACAACAAUUAAGACAGUCUGAUGUUCACUGAAUUGCAACCAGGCACGGUUCUAUCACACUAGAAGUCAUGAUGCACAACAGAAAUUAAGAAUUCUCAACUAAUAUUACAACUCAGUGACAUUUGCAACCCUAUAUGCAGUUAACAAUUAACCUCUGUGUACCAGUUACAGGUACAUAUUUUUUAAUGGGUGUCCAUUGUUACGGAAGAAAAACCAACUCGAAACACAAUGAAGGAUAUGGUAAAUCUCUUUGUCUAAUCUUGCCGUGUAUUUCAAUAGUGUCGCUGGUGAUUUUGCAGCUGCUACGUAUCUGUUGCAAUUUUUUCUUCGCUCUCUCAGUCUCUGGCUAUCUCUCAUUUCUCUGGGACUGAGUCCUAAAAGAGUUACUGCUCGACAAAAUAAAGGGGUGACGCAAAAUACUUUUGUUAGUUUAUGCUUGCUAGCGAUAUUGAUCAAAUUAUGCUUAAAUUUUUUGAAAUUGUAUACUUUAAAAUACCCUUCUGCGUAAGUAUGUAUUUGAUUUCUUUAUUCCCAAAUAAGAGCUUUGUUGAGUUGUGUUAUAACAUUGUAGGAUUCAAUGCUUUUGUGAAGUUGUAAAGUUAAGCUUAGAAAGAUAUAGGCAUGUUAAAACGGAUCAUCACUUGAACAUUUUUGAGGUCUAAAUUUGUAAUCUUAUUUUUAAAUGCAUUUAGAAUUGUUGUUA